rnacentral:lncRNA from 1 species
UUCCCCGAAGUUAUUAAAGGCCUGCGAAAAAAACUUCGUGCGCACACCCUAUUUAUACGUAUUAGUUAUUCCUUUAGAAUUGCUACACAUCGUGUGGGUAUACCGAUUGUACGCAACCCUAGCAGAGCAUAAUGUACGUUCAAUUUUGAACGAAAAUGCUGAAUGCAAACUUCCGACGACGCUAUUAUGACCGUACGUCGCUGAGCUUGCUCUACAGAGUGUUUUCAUGGCGACCAUGUUCAGGAACAAAUCUGGAUCGAAAUUAAUACACAUUUCUUUUUUUAAAAAGCGA